UACGUAGGCAGCGAGCGUUGUUCGGAGUUACUGGGCGUAAAGAGUGCGUAGGCGGUUUUCUAAGUUUGGUGUGAAAUCUCCCGGCUCAACUGGGAGGGUGCGCCGAAGACUGGAGGGCUUGAGUAUGGGAGAGGGAUGCGGAAUUCCAGGUGUAGCGGUGAAAUGCGUAGAUAUCUGGAGGAACACCGGUGGCGAAGGCGGCAUCCUGGACCAACACUGACACUGAGGAGCGAAAGCCAGGGGAGCAAACGGG
rnacentral:rRNA from 1 species